rnacentral:rRNA from 1 species
GGGCGUAAAGGGCUCGUAGGUGGUUGAUCGCGUCGGAAGUGUAAUCUUGGGGCUUAACCCUGAGCGUGCUUUCGAUACGGGUUGACUUGAGGAAGGUAGGGGAGAAUGGAAUUCCUGGUGGAGCGGUGGAAUGCGCAGAUAUCAGGAGGAACACCAGUGGCGAAGGCGGUUCUCUGGGCCUUUCCUGACGCUGAGGAGCGAAAGCGUGGGGAGCGAACAGGCUUAGAUACCCUGGUAGUCCACGCUGUAAACGGUGGGUACUAGGUGUGGGGUCCAUUCCACGGGUUCCGUGCCGUAGCUAACGCUUUAAGUACCCCGCCUGGGGAGUACGGCCGCAAGGCUAAAACUCAAAGGAAUUGACGGGGCCCCGCACAAGCGGCGGAGCAUGCGGAUUAAUUCGAUGCAACGCGUAGAACCUUACCUGGGUUUGACAUGGAUCGGGAGUGCUCAGAGAUGGGUGUGCCUCUUUUGGGGUCGGUUCACAGGUGGUGCAUGGCUGUCGUCAGCUCGUGUCGUGAGAUGUUGGGUUAAGUCCCGCAACGAGCGCAACCCUUGUUCACUGUUGCCAGCACGUUAUGGUGGGGACUCAGUGGAGACCGCCGGGGUCAACUCGGAGGAAGGUGGGGAUGACGUCAAGUCAUCAUGCCCCUUAUGUCCAGGGCUUCACGCAUGCUACAAUGGCUGGUACAGAGAGUGGCGAGCCUGUGAGGGUGAGCGAAUCUCGGAAAGCCGGUCUCAGUUCGGAUUGGGGUCUGCAACUCGACCUCAUGAAGUCGGAGUCGCUAGUAAUCGCAGAUCAGCAACGCUGCGGUGAAUACGUUCCCGGGGCUUGUACACACCGCCCGUCAAGUCAUGAAAGUUGGUAACACCCGAAGCCGGUGGCCUAACCGUUGUGGGGGAGCCGUCGAAG